GCCGUCCCGCAAGUGCCUCCUGGCGGCGCGCGCCCGCCGGCCUCAACCUGUCAGCGGGCAUGCGCUCGGGGCCGCGCACGGGAACGACCCUCGUCCACUAGGAGCUGGAAGGGAGUGAAGAAGGCGGAGGUUUGCUGAAUCUCUCCUCGCCCUCGCGAGUGAAAAUCUCUGCGCCUCAGAGCCGUGAUGAGCUCGGGAUAAGCACAGGCGGCAAAGCCAGACCUGCAGGCCGCGGUGGAACCCUCACAGAGUAGCAAACACGAACGAAUGAGAUAUGGGAGAAGAUGUUCAUGGAAGAAAUGACAGAAAAGCUUAGUAAUGAAUAAUGUUUUAUUAUUCUGUUUGAUUUGAAUUUUCAAAACAUCGGCCUAACACAAUCAAAUAUUAACUCAUCAUCAAGUAAGAAUCCCCCUGAUGUUUGGAUCCCAGACCAAGUGUGGACUCCUUCCUACUGUUUUAUUUGCUGGAGUCAAGAAUCACGUGUCAACACAGGGCUUCUAGUGAAUUUAGUCUUGUAUCCUAUUGAAGAUCCUGGAAGAGGUCUGAUCCUACGAUUCUACAGAAUUAUAAAAUGGACCAAAUGGAAGUGAGAACAGGUACAGGGUGGCACAAAUGAAGGAAUGUUGGAUUCCAGGCCAAGAUUCUUGGGUCACAGCUACCUGAAUAUUUUAAGUUAUAGAAACUAAGGUAGUUGCUUGAUUUCUUUGGACUUUAGAUAUGUUACCUGUAAAAUAAUGAGUCAUUUAAAGAUAUUUGCUAAGUAUCUUCUAAUUGUUUUGAUGUGAUGUAAGGUAGGGGGAGCUUUGAGAUUAAAUUUAAAUUGGCUUUUGGAAAAAUGUUAGAAAUAAUGAAAACAAAAUUUUCAAAUAAAACCAUAAGACUGUAUAAUUUAAAGACAUUGAAGAGAGGAACGUUACGUCCUCAUUUUAGCUGUGCUCUGGUUAUCCAGUGAUUGUAUGAAUGAGAGGGCACCAGAGUGCCCGGAAAUGACAAACUGGCAAAAAAGAAACAGAUGAGAACUUGCUGAAACUUCACCUGCAGCAUGUUUUGAACACUCUUUCUUUCUUUCUGUUUUUUUUUGUUCUGAGAGUUACCACUCAUCACAAAAGAGAAAAAGACUGAAGAGCUCUGAAAUUUACCCGCAGUCUGCAGGAGGAGAUGGGGAAUAUUCAUAUUUCCAUGAUUUUGUAACUCUUUCCCUAAAUUACCACCCCAUACAACCUUUUUUUCCAUCCUUAUCUCUGUGAUCCAAAUACAAUGCUGUGAUCAGGGUGUAGCUUUUAUUAGUAUUAUCUGAAAAUAGGAACAAGACAUUGCAUACAUUUAUUCUGAAAUGAUAUUAAUUUUAAAAAUUAUCUUCAAAUAAAUAAAAUUGUUUU